AUUGAACGCUGGCGGCAGGCCUAACACAUGCACGUCGAGCGCGCGGCGGACGGGUGAGUAAUGUAUGGGGACUGCCCGAUAGAGGGGGAUAACUACUGGAAACAGUAGCUAAUACCGCAUACUAUCGGAUAACCCAUAUGGGAUUAGCUAGUAGGUGGGGUAAAGGCUCACUUAGGCGACGAUGGCGAGCUGGUCUGAAAGGAUGAUCAGACAAACUGGUACUGAGACACGGCCCAGACUCCUACGGAGCCAGCAGUGGGGAAUAUUGCACAAUGGGAUCAAGCCUGAUGCAGCCAUGCCGCGUGUAUGAAGAAGGCCUUAGGGUUGUAAAGUACUUUCAGCGGGGCGGCGUUACCCGCAGAAGAAGCACCGGCUAACUCCGUGCCAGCAGCCGCGGUAAUAC
rnacentral:rRNA from 1 species